GAUGAACGCUAGCUACAGGCUUAACACAUGCAGGUCGAGGGGUAACGAGAGGAAAGCUUGCUUUCCUUGUCGACGACCGGCGCACGGGUGAGUAACGCGUAUCCAACCUGCCCCCAACUAGGGAAUAACCUUGCGAAAGUAAGACUAAUACCCUAUAAUUUCCUCAGAUGUCAUCUGACGAGGAAUAAAGAUUUAUCGGUUGUGGAUGGGGAUGCGUCUGAUUAGCUUGUUGGCGGGGUGACGGCCCACCAAGGCAACGAUCAGUAGGGGUUCUGAGAGGAAGGUCCCCCACAUUGGAACUGAGACACGGUCCAAACUCCUACGGGAGGCAGCAGUGAGGAAUAUUGGUCAAUGGGCGGAAGCCUGAACCAGCCAAGUAGCGUGCAGGAUGACGGCCCUAUGGGUUGUAAACUGCUUUUAUACAGGAAUAAAGUUAGCCACGUGUGGUUAUUUGUAGGUACUGUAUGAAUAAGGACCGGCUAAUUCCGUGCCAGCAGCCGCAGUAA
rnacentral:rRNA from 1 species